AUGUCUGCACGUCUACGGGGGUAUGAUAUCAUAGGCAUCACAGAAACAUGGUGGGAUGGGACCUAUGACUGGUGUGUUGGAAUGGAAGGUUACAGGAUCUUUAGGAAAGACAGGCCUGGCAGACGGGGAGGGGGAGUUGCUAUUUAUGUUAGGGAUAGGCUGGAGAGUAUGGAACUCUGUGUGGGGAGAGGUGAGCAGUCGACAGAGAGUUUGUGGGUCAGGGUUAAAGGGAGAACAGCGAUGGGAGACAUUAUUAUGGGGAUCUGUUACAGACCGCCUGACCAAGGGGACUUGCUGGACGAAGCGCUCCAUAGGCAGAUAGAAACAGCCUCACGCUCGCAGACCCUUGUUCUCAUGGGAGACUUCAACCACCCUGAUAUCUGUUGGAGGGAUGGUACGGCCCAGCACAAGCAAUCCAGGAGGUUCCUCGAUUGUACGGAAGACAACUUCCUUCUGCAAGUAAUAGAGGAGCUGACAAGGAGAGGUGCCAUGCUUGACCUCGUCCUCACCAACAGGGAAGGGCUGGUUGGGAAUGUGAUGCUCCAGGGCAGCCUUGACUGCAGCGAUCAUGAGAUGGUUGAGUUUGAGAUCCUCAGGACAGUGAGAAGAGCGUGCAGCAAGCUCACUGCCCUGGACUUCAAGAGAGCAGACUUUGGCCUCUUCAGAAACCUGCUCAGUAAGGUUCCAUGGGAUACAGCCCUAGAGGGCAGGGGGGCCCAAGACUGUUGGUUGAUAUUCAAGGAUCACCUGCUGCAAGCUCAGGAGCGAUGCAUCCCAACUAGAAGGAAGUUCAGCAGGAGGGCCAGGAGACCUCCUUGGAUGGAUAAGGAGCUGCUGAGGAAAAUUCGAAGGAAACAAGAGUCUUAUAAAAGGUGGAAGCAAGGUCAGGUGGCCUGGGAAGAAUACAGGGAUGUUGUCCGGGAAGCCAGGGACCAGGUUAGGAAAGCUAAGGCCCACUUAGAAUUAAACUUGGCUAGGGAUGUUAAGGAUAACAGGAAGGGAUUUUAUAGGUACAUUGCCAAUAAAAGACAGGUUAGGGACACCGUGGGCCCUCUCCAGAAGCUAUCGGGAGAACUGGCUACCCUGGAUUUGGAGAAGGCUGAGGUUCUUAAGGACUUCUUUGCCUCAGUCUUCACUGGAAAAUGCUCUGACCACACCACCCAAGUCUUGGAAGGCAGACACAGGGACUGUGAGAGCGAAGACCCUGGGCCCACUGUAGGAGAGGAUCUGGUUCGAGACCAUCUUAGGAACCUGAAUGUAUACAAGUCCAUGGGACUGGAUGAAAUCCAUCCACGGGUCCUGAAGGAGCUGGCAAAUGAAGUUGCUAAGCCACUGUCCAUCAUAUUUGAAAAAUCAUGGCAGUCAGGUGAAGUUCCUAAUGACUGGAAAAAGGGAAAUAUAACGCCCAUUUUCAAGAAGGGGAAAAUGGAUGAGCUGGGGAACUACAGACCAGUCAGCCUCACCUCUGUGCCUGGCAAAAUCUUGGAGCAGAUUCUCCUGGAAGGCAUGCUGAGGCACAUGAAAACCAACAAGGUGCUUGGUGACAGCCAGCAUGGCUUCACUAAGGGGAAAUCAUAG
ensembl:lncRNA